rnacentral:lncRNA from 1 species
UAAGUUUGUGAAAAUAGAAGUUAGGCUUUUUUUAAUUCAUGAUCGGAGUUACCGAAUGUGAUCUAAAUAGUAUAAAAAAAUUUUUAUCGAAAAUUCAAACUGUUUGGAUUGUUCUACACUAUUAAACAAGAGAACGGCUUAUAUAGAGGGUGAAAAUUAUCGAUUUUGUGAUCCUUUGAUUACUAAGUAAAUAAUUUUUAAAAAUUCAUAAAAUUUAGUUUCUAAAUACUUUAAAUACUCUAAUUAAUUUUAACGGUUCCGAUCAUUGAUUCAAAAUUCCUAUCAUCUGAAACGAUUUAGGAAAACGAAAACCUCCAUCAUCCUAAAAGGAUUAGUAGCUGGAUUCAUGUCUCUUGUAUUUUUAUAAGUACGGAGUUUUUCAUACUUAUAAAUUAUUUUUAAUAAUAAAAUUACUGAAUUGAAUCUAUAUAGUUAAACAUAAUUUAGAACAUUUAAAAUAUUUUAAAAAUAAAUUUUAAUCUUCUUUAAAAUCAUAAUAAAAUCUACCAAGCGAGUAUAAAAAUAAACGGUAAAAAUCGAACAACAUCCUAAAAAUAGAAAAUCGAAUUCUUCAAUUUACAAUGUGAGUUGUUAAUUGUUACCUAAAUAGUGAUCAACAGAAUAUUUUAUCAAAAAUUUAACUGAUUUUAAUUUUUUUUAAAACCAUUAAACUAGAAAAGAUCCUUUACCAGUCGUUAUAUAUUAUCAAUUUUGGAAAAUUUUUUUUAUUGUGAGAUAAAUUAUGUUGAAAAAUAAUAAAAUUUAAUUUUUAAAAAGUUUGAAUACUCUAAAUUAUAUUUAAUAAU